GCCCAGGUGGUGGAAUUGGUAGACACGCUACUUUGAGGGGGUAGUGGGAGUAAUCCCGUGUGAGUUCGAGUCUCGUCCUGGGCA
rnacentral:tRNA from 1 species